rnacentral:rRNA from 1 species
AUGGAGAUCGAUCCUACAUUUCGUCAAAAGUGUGAGAUUAAAAGAAAGAAACAAUUUGAUGAAAACCCAGAUGAUGUGUUAAUUUCUUCACAACCUGCACAUGAAUCAUUUAGGAGAAAAUAUUUUAUUCCUGUUGUUGAUCAGGCUAUCAGUUCACUUACAACAAGAUUUGAGCAAUAUGAAUCAUUCCAAAAGAACUUUGGUUUCUUAUUUACUUCUGAUGCACUAAAAUCAUUGGAUGAGAAGAGCUUAAAAUCUUCUUGUAGUGUUCUUGAGGCUGCACUAAAGAGUGGGGCGAAAUCGGACAUUAAUGGUAGUGAAUUAUAUGUUGAGCUAAAUUUACUUAAAAGUUUCAUUCCAAAUGAUAAUAUGGGGCGGGUUGAUAUCUUGAAAUUUCUUAAACGGCUAGAUUGUUUCCCUAAUGCAACUAUUGCAUAUAGAAUUUUGUUAACUAUUUCAGUGACCGUCGCAUCAGCUGAGAGAAGUUUCUCCAAAUUGAAAUUAUUGAAGUCCUAUCUACGUUCAACAAUGACACAAGAAAGGCUCAGUGGGUUGGCUACUAUAGCAAUUGAAAAUGAUAUACUGGAGGGGGUUGCUUAUGAAGAUCUAAUUGAAUAUUUUGUAUCAAGAAAUGCUCAAAGGAUUGCACGCUUUGGCUAA